GCGGAACUUUGUCAAAGGCUUUUGCGAAAUCCAUGAUGAUUAGAUCGGUUUGUAUGUUUUUGUCGUUAUUUGAACACACUGAGCUGGUGAAUUAGUGAUAUUAUUUGGGAUUCGCAUGAUCUAUUUGGCCUGAAGCCGUUUUGCAAGUCAUAAAGUAUGUUGUUGGAUUCAAGGUGUUUCGUGAUGUAGCUUGCAAUUAUGUGCUCCACAGACAUAUAUAUAUCUCUGUGUGCUCUAAAAAUUUGCAGGAAAU
rnacentral:lncRNA from 1 species